UGGUUGGAUCGAGAUAACCCCUCUGGAACCGGAGACUGGGAGACCCUCACUGAUCUGCGAAGAGAAAACCCAGGAAAGAUCUGCAAAAAUCCACUUCAAAUCCAGGUCCAAACUACAUCUGGGGCCAGUGUAGCUUCUACAGGAAAUGUUAUUGCUGUAUCUGACACAAACACUGGAUUCGUCUGUAAGAAUAAAGACCAGACUAAGGGCAGUUGCAAAGAUUUCCGUGUUCGUUUCCUGUGCCCUGACACAUUCUGUACAGUGACACCUCCAAAAUGCUGGACACCAUGGUUGGAUCGAGAUAACCCCUCUGGAACCGGAGACUGGGAGACCCUCACUGAUCUGCGAAGAGAAAACCCAGGAAAGAUCUGCAAAAAUCCACUUCAAAUCCAGGUCCAAACUACAUCUGGGGCCAGUGUAGCUUCUACAGGAAAUGUUAU